rfam:Schistosoma curassoni strain Dakar, Senegal genome assembly, scaffold: SCTD_contig0018726
AUUCAGCAGACGAGUCCCAAAUAGGACGAAACACACCUCCUGGAU